rnacentral:rRNA from 1 species
GGGUCCUUCAGGUCUAGUAUAAGCAUUAUACCGUGAAACUGCGAAUGGCUCAUUAAAUCAGUUAUCGUUUAUUUGAUAGUACCUUACUACUUGGAUAACCGUGGUAAUUCUAGAGCUAAUACAUGCUUACAACCUCGACUUCGGAAGGGGUGUAUUUAUUAGAUAAAAAACCAACGCCCUUCGGGGCUUCUUGGUGAUUCAUGAUAACUUUACGGAUCGCAUGGCCUUGCGCCGGCGACGGUUCAUUCAAAUUUCUGCCCUAUCAACUUUCGAUGGUAAGGUAUUGGCUUACCAUGGUUUCAACGGGUAACGGGGAAUUAGGGUUCGAUUCCGGAGAGGGAGCCUGAGAAACGGCUACCACAUCCAAGGAAGGCAGCAGGCGCGCAAAUUACCCAAUCCCAAUACGGGGAGGUAGUGACAAUAAAUACUGAUACAGGGCUCUUUUGGGUCUUGUAAUUGGAAUGAGUACAAUUUAAACCUCUUAACGAGGAACAAUUGGAGGGCAAGUCUGGUGCCAGCAGCCGCGGUAAUUCCAGCUCCAAUAGCGUAUAUUAAAGUUGUUGCAGUUAAAAAGCUCGUAGUUGAACCUUGGGUCUGGCUGGCAGGUCCGCCUCACCGCGUGUACUUGUCCGGCCGGGCCUUCCUUCUGGAGAACCUCAUGCCCUUCACUGGGCGUGUUGGGGACCAGGACUUUUACUUUGAAAAAAUUAGAGUGUUCAAAGCAGGCCUUUGCUCGAAUACGUUAGCAUGGAAUAAUAGAAUAGGACGUGCGGUCCUAUUUUGUUGGUUUCUAGGACCGCCGUAAUGAUUAAUAGGGACAGUCGGGGGCAUCAGUAUUCAAUUGUCAGAGGUGAAAUUCUUGGAUUUAUUGAAGACUAACUACUGCGAAAGCAUUUGCCAAGGAUGUUUUCAUUAAUCAGUGAACGAAAGUUAGGGGAUCGAAGACGAUCAGAUACCGUCGUAGUCUUAACCGUAAACUAUGCCGACUAGGGAUCGGGCGAUGUUAUUUUUCUGACUCGCUCGGCACCUUACGAGAAAUCAAAGUUUUGGGUCUGGGGAGUAUCCCCACC